GAUUAAAAAUUAUUAUUAUUUAUAUUAUAAUAUUAAAUAUAAAAAAAAUAAUUUUAAUUUAAGUAUUUUAAUAAAAAUUUAUAAUUUUAUUAUAGAUUAAUAGUAUUGAGAAAGAAAUAAUAAAUAAUUUUAAAAGAAAAAUUUAAUUUUUGUACCUUGUGCAUCAGGGUUUAUUAAUUAAUAAUAAUAUUUUUUUAUAAUCUCGAAUUUAAAAGAGCUAAUUAAUUAUAUAUUUUAUUGUAAAAUAAAUAUUUAAAAUUUUUAAUUAGUAAUGAAAUGUUAUUCGUUUUUAAAUAUAUCUAGUUAUAAAAGAAAUUAAUUUAAUUAAUUUAUUAAUAUAAAAUUUAAUAUUUUUUAAUUUGAUUUUUAUUAAUAAUAAAAAUUUAAAGGGAUAAGCUUUUAAAUUAAAUUAUAAAAUUAUUUAUUUACAUAUUAUAAUUAAUAUGAUUAAAAAUUUUAAAUUAUUAAAGUUUGUUAUUAUUUAUUAUAAAUAAAAUUUUAUUUAUAUAAAAUUUAUAUUGUUUAUUUUAUUUUUUAUAGAAAUUGAUUAUAUAAAGUAAUAAUGAUAAAAUUAGUAUUAAUAAUUUUAUAAUAUAUGUAUAAGAUUUAUGUUAGAAAAAGGAACUCGGCAAAAUUUAUAUUCACCUGUUUAAUAAAAACAUGUCCUUUUGAUUAUAAUUUAAGGUCAAAUCUGCCCACUGAUAUUUUAAAUGGCCGCAGUAAACUGACUGUGCUAAGGUAGCAUAAUAAUUAGUUUUUUAAUUGAAAGCUGGUAUGAAUGAUUUAAUGAGAUAUAAGCUGUCUCUUUUUAAUUUAUAAAGAAUUUUAUUUUUAAGUUAAAAAGCUUAAAUAUUGUUAAAAGACGAGAAGACCCUAUAGAGUUUAAUUUAGUUGAAUAAAUUAAAUUUUAUUUUUAUAUAUAAUUAAUUUAUUUAACUAAAUUUGGUUGGGGUGACAAAAAAAUUUAAUAAACUUUUAAAUUAUAUAACAUUAAUUUAUGAAUAAUUGAUCCAAUUUUUAUUGAUUAUAAGAAUAAAUUACCUUAGGGAUAACAGCGUAAUUAUUUUUGAGAGUUCUUAUCGAAAG
rnacentral:rRNA from 1 species